AUUGAACGCUGGCGGCAGGCCUAACACAGGCAAGUCGAACGAGUGGCGGACGGGGGAGGAAUGUCUGGGAAACUGCCCGAUGGAGGGGGAUAACUACUGGAAACGGUAGCUAAUACCGCAUACCAUCGGAUGUGCCCAGAUGGGAUUAGCUAGUAGGUGGGGUAACUGCUCACCUAGGCGACGAUCCCUAGCUGGUCUGAGAGGAUGACCGGCCACGCUGGAACUGAGUCACGGUCCAGACUCCUGCGCAUGGCUGCGUUGGGGAAUUUUGCGCGAUGACCGCUAUCCUCAAGCAGCCAUGCCGCGUGUAUGAAUAAUGGCUGAGGGUUGUAUUGUACUUGCAGCGAAGGCGCGUUACUCGCAGCAGAAGCGCCGGCAAUCUCCGCACCAGCAGCCGCGGUAAUAC
rnacentral:rRNA from 1 species